CGCCCCACUUAUAAACAAAACAAACCGAGAAACCCUAAGAGCCCUCUCUCUUCUUCCUAAUGACAAACCAGUCGCAGACCCCUGACCUCACCGCAACGACCCCCGACCUCACCCCAUCUCCACCCUUCAACCAAGCCACACCAAAGGACCAUUUGUUUGCUCUCCAUCUCAGCAACUCGGCGGAGGUCCUUUCCCUUUCAGUCGCCGGCCAGCCACUGGAACUUCACCAAACAUCAUAGUCGUCACUCACUCCUCCAUCUCUUUCACGCCAACAACCAAAGGGAAACAAACUUUCAGCCAGCAACAACCAAACAAUCCCGUUUUUGAACCUUAUAAGCGGCUCCUCACCACUAACUUCAUGCCGGACCACUCCAGAACCGUCGUCGCCGACCUAUCUCUCAUUGACGCCAACCAGACCUCUCAUGAACAACCAAGUAACAUUUUUCUUCUAUAAUUUCUCAACGACUGAGGAAAGCAGCGGUGUUUAUACGAGUGGUGGUGUCGUUAAUAGUAGUAAUGUAUUGGGCUGUGCUUUUGGUUUCUUAAUUCGAGGUUUUGUUCGAGGUCAGCAAACUUGGUACUAUCCGUUGGUUUUCCGGUUCAAAUCCUUGUUUUUGGUUUGAAGUUUCAAUUUGUUCAAAGGUCCGCUUCUGCUUCGCUCACUUCUCCGAUCAUCAAUCUACUUAGUUCAUGUACAUGUUUGCUUAGUUUGUCUAAUUUUAAUGAAUAUGCAUAUAUCCUAUUAAGUGUUCUUUGUGCUCAAUCUUAAAAUUGAAGUUGCGUGAGAAUAGGGGAUUCACAUAAUCUGUUCCUUUAGAAUCUGUUAGUAUAUAUUAAUUUAGUGAUAGUUAUGAUUUGUUUAAUUAAUUUAGUUUCAAUUGAAUCAAUUGAAUUGGUUUCCAUUCAUGACUCUGUAUGUUGUUUAGUCAUAACAAAAUUGUAAUAUGUUUAAAAUAGAUAUAAGUUCUUAAGAAAAGAAAGAAAAUUGCUUUUGGGUCAUAGGAUGGAAUUGCAGGACUGUGAUACUUGGAUUAAUAUUUUUCAUUUUUCUGCAUUUUGAAAACAUAUUUCACAAAGCCAAGGGAGUAGGUUUUGGUUCAUAAAUUUCUUAGCUUAUGUCCUAUAUGCGUAGAUUGAUUUUACUGUUAUAAAAGUUAUUGUUGGCACGUGGAAGAUUUGAAUCUUUUGUGAUUAUUUGGUGUCUGGUAUAAGAUGUUAGCCAAAUGAAUAGUUUAUGACACCUUGUAACCUUAAUUAAGAAUUGUUUAAUUGGAGUGCUCUACUAAUAAUAUUAAGAUAAUGAUUUGCUUAAUACAUAAUGUGGGACAAGGCAUAUGGUAGUGGGGAAUAAUUCAUUUGUUUAAUAAAAUAGGGGGACAAUACAUAUGAUAGUGGGGAAUAAUUCAUUUGUUUAAUAGAAGUGGUGGAUAAGACAUGUAGUAGUGGGAAUACGGGGCUCAAUGAUCCGACUAGUUGUUUUAAGCUCCGGCACGUCAUUCAGCAGUUUGAGGCCAUGAUCUGUUUCAUCUCAGGAAUAUUGACUUGUGUGUAUGGUCAGAAUUAAAAUUCAGGAAGUUUGGAGUCAAAUCUAAAUGGAAAUUCUCAUUUUGAAAGCUUAAAGUUGAAGAAAUAAACUAGGAUUGGAAUUCUGAGUAAAUUACCUCGGAAUCGGGAUCCGAAGGUUCCAGCAGGUUCGUAUGAAUAUUUCGGACUUGGAAGUAUGCCCGGAUCGGGUUUUGGAUAACCAAGGAGCGUUUUGGUGACUAUUGUGGAAGAUAGCAUUUUAGAAGAAAUUGCAUCAGUUUGGCUUAAAAUGCAUUUCAGUGUUAUUAAAGUCCGUUUGGGAUUCUGAGACUGGGAGUAGCUCCGUAUGGUGAUUCUGCAUUUGGGAGAGCAAUCGGAAGUGAAUUCUGAGGUUCGUAGGUCAUUUUGAAGUCAUUUGGCUAAAAAUAGAAAUUUGAAGAUUUUUGAGAAAAUUCGACUGAAAUUGGAAAUUUUGAUAUCGGGGUCGGAAUGCGAUUCAGUAAGUUGGGGAAAGUCCAUAAUAUUGAAUGUGACUUGUGUACAAAAGUUUGAAGUCAUUCCAGAAUGAUUUUGGUAAGGUUUGAGGCACUUAGUCUCUUUUAAGGAAGCUUAAGUUGGAAACGUCAAUCGAGUAUAGACUUAUGUGUUAGAGGGCUCGAAAUGCAAAUUUUAUGGUUUGGAUAGCUUCAUUAGGUCAUUUGGGACUUAGAAGUGUGUCCGAAGUAUUUUUGUGAUGACAGGUGUAGAAUUAAGCUUGAAUUGGCAAAGUUAGUAUUUUGGCGAAUUCCGAUUGAUAGGAGAGAUUUUGAUCCGAGGGUUGGAAUGGAAUUCCGAGAGUUUCUGUAGCUUCGUUAUAUUAUUUUGGACUUUUUGGUUGUAUAACUCGAAUCUAUUGCAAGUUUUGGCGUUUAAUUUGAGAGUUUUUGUUAAAAAAGUAGAAAACCCUCUUGGAUAGAAAUGGUGAUUUGAGGAGUCAAAUGGACUCCGAUUUUUGUGAAUUCGAUAUGUACGGACUCAUGGCGAGACGUGGAAUCUGGUAAUGUAAAUAUUGUAAUUUUUCGAUACGUGGGCCCGGGGCUCGAGUUUUGCAAAUUUCGUGAUUUUCAAUUUUUUCGAGUCCUUGGGUUAUAUUCCCUUAGCAUAUUGUGAUGUAUUUGCUCUAAAUUUGGAUAGAUUUGACGCNNNNNNNNNNNNNNNNNNNNNNNNNNNNNNNNNNNNNNNNNNNNNNNNNNNNNNNNNNNNNNNNNNNNNNNNNNNNNNNNNNNNNNNNNNNNNNNNNNNNNNNNNNNNNNNNNNNNNNNNNNNNUAGUGUUGUAUUGAGGUGACUUGCACGCCGGAUAUGAGCGUGGGGUAGAGCACCGUUGGGGACUGUGACUUGGUCCGUCCCGGUUGUUGAUUUUAUCGAGAAUUUGACUGAAAUUAUUUUUUAUCAUCAUAAUUUGGGCUGAUUGCCAUGUUUGGGCUUCGUGCCAACUAUGUGAAUCCUUCGGGGAUUGAUAUUACUGUUUUUAGCAUAUGUUGCAUAUCAUUUGAUUCCAGUUCAAGAUUUUAAUACUGUUUUGCAAACUCAGCCAUGCUUCUAAGUUUUGAAAACUCAAAUGAUAUAUCAAAUGUUAUUUCGGCCUGAGACUACUAUUUUAUAAAUUCCCAAGAUGCUUAUGAUAUUUUCUGAAAUAUUAUGGGUGGCUCGGGCUGCGCGCCGCAGCAAGAACUUGAAAUAGUGGUAACAAUGUCACUGUGAUGUGACCUGAAUUAUUAUGGGUGGCUCGAGUUGCGUGCCGCAGGAGGAACUUGAAACAGUGGUAACAAUGGCACUAUAUGAAAUAAAUUUGUCAGGUAUGACUGAUCAGUAUAUUGCGUUUGGGCUGUAGGAGCCCCUCUGGAGUCUGUACACACCCCCAGUGAGCGCCGUCGACGUUAGAUGAUUAUGGGUGGCUCGGGCUGCGCACCGCAGCGGGUACUAGAAUGUACCAUCAUAUGCAUUGCAUUGCAUCCAUGCAUUUGUUCCUAUUUCCUUGUUUGUGCUAUUUCUUGAGAUAUUCAUCCGUUGUUCUGGUACUACAUGAUCAUUCUUGAGGAGGGUAAAUUUUAGACAGUGGUAACAAUGACACUAUAUGAUGCAUUUGGUCAGGUAAUAAUGGCUGACUAGGAAUAAGAAUAUUGCCGGAGGGGCGACUUUCUGUGGAUAAUGUCACUAAUUGUUUGAUUGAACUGUUUACCAUAUACCCUGGUGUUGUUUGUUAAUAGUGUAAUGUGCCCGGGAGGCUGAUGUUUUACUUUCUGAGUUGGGAGUGAGCCCAUGGGGCUGAUACUGUAUAGAGAGGUUGAUAUUGAGCCCGAGGGGCAGAUUUCUGAUUAUUCCCUACUUAUUGAAGUUAUUUUCGCAACUGUUGAAAAGGAAUAUUUUUAAAAGAGGUUUUUCCUGAGCCCAUAUAUUUUCCAAAGGAUCUUCACAAUUUUAUUAUUUCUGAAUAUUUUUAAAAAGAGGUUUUUACUGAGCCCAGAUGUUUUUCAAAGGAUUUUCACAAUUUUACUAUUUCUCCUCAGUAAGGGUUGUAAUAUUCUAUGUAGCAUGAUGGAGUGCCUUACGUGAUUUCUUACUUUCAGCUAUUAUUUACUCUUAAUACUGCUGAGUUGGAAGUACAGGUACUGUUCACCCGGUAGCGGGUUAUUAACAUACUGAGGGUAUACUAUCGUAGCUGAGCAAGGUGACCGUGAGCGUUCACGGCACCGUAAUUCUUCAUUGAUUCUAAAUUCCUAUUCUGGAUAUUGCUGGUCUUGUAGUAGUAUUUAGAUUCUUUAGAUGCUCGUGACUAGUGACACACUGAUUUGGGUUGUGUUGAGUUGUAUACAGCGAAAUAUUUUAUUUAAUUAUCUUAAAACUGUUUAAUUAUAUAUAUAUAUUGUUGAAAAGGUUGUUUAAAUUGGUUUGCUGGCAUUGUCUUCACGAGAGGUGCCAUCACGAUCGGGUUUGGGAUUUGGGUUGUGACAAGUUGAUAUCAGAGCUUAGGUUACUAGGUCUCGCGAGUCAUGGGAAGGUUUAGUAGAGGCUUGCGGAUCAGUACGGAGACGUCUGUAUUUAUCCUCGGGAGGCUGCAGAACCUUUAGGAAAACUUCACAUUCUUGAAAUCUUAUCAUGCGUCCUUGAUUUAGUUUGAAAAGGUAAACUUUAUAGUUCCUUCCACGUAUUCAUAUGUGCGAACAAAUGCUCAGUAUUAGAUGUGCCUUGAUGGCUUGUAAUUCCCCGAUCGAGGGAUGAGAUGUAAUCUCUGUGAGUUUGAUGAUAGGCCAGACUGAAGGACUUGAGGCUGGAUCUUUGCCUAUGGCUUAAGCACCGAGGUGCUAAUUAUGCGAGCAAGUAUUUUGAACUUAUAUGUUCGGUAUUGUCCCUAUUAGUAGGAAUGAUGGAUGGAUAGCUAUGUGAUGAGUAUGUUACAAUUGCGAGAUAUAUCUAUAUGACUUGGAAGUGAAGAUGGAGACCUGCUGGAUGAUAGGUGGACUAUUAAGUGUGAUUUUUCAUUGUUACGCUUUGUCAAGUUGUGGAUGUGUUGUUAGGAUGGUUUUGGUGAUUCUCUGGCAUGUGGAUAGGCACAAAUACAAAGGGAACUCUGCCGAAAUGUUUGAAAAUUUGGGACUUCGUAAAAAAAAAUUGUUGCCUAAAUAGAGGGCUUAACUUUUGUGUGAGUGAAUGAAAAAAAAAAAUUUGCAGAAGAGUUAAAAUUUUCGAUUAUUCGUGUUUCCACAAGCUUAUGAAGGAGUGAGUUUAAUCUCACCAUCGUAUUACGGCAACAAUAAAGUAUAUGUGUUGUGAUCUACAGCUCGGAGCCAAGUUGGGGAGUUUGCUAUUGAUUAGAUAAUUGUACAGUCAUGUGCUAUGUUGGUUCCGAUUCAAGGCAUGCUGACGAAUCAGCUCUGGUUGCGGAAAUUGGUCCGAAGAUGGCACAAGUGAUGUAGAACUUUGACAAAGGCUACAUGGUGCUUCAUAGAUGUGUGAGAAUCACAGUAUGUCUUAAGCUGUCAUUGGUAAUGAAUGCUCGGUGCAUGGAGCGGGAAGAUGUUUGGUUGUAUGGAAUGUGGACAUACGCUGCGGUGUCAGAGUGCUAUUGAGGCACGGGUGGUUAUGUUCGUUGGAUCAGGUGAAUUGCAGUUUGAAUAAGAGUAAAUGACUUGAGAGAAUGGUUCUAAUGUGUUCGAGAGUCAUAUAAUAGUGGCUUUGAGGUAAGUGGCAGAGUCCAACCGCUUACGAUUGGGUUGUAUGGUUAAUUACCUGCGUGAAUUCUGGUUAUUAGCAUAUUGAUGGGUUACUGCAGCUACGAAAGCCGCUGUCCAUUGGGUUGCAUGGUUAAAUACCUGCGUGAAUUCUAGUUAUUAGCGUAUUGAUGGGUUAUUUAGCUAUGGAAAAGGACCAUGGGUGGUAAUUGGAGUAAAUGAAAUUGUUGAAUGCAUACUAUGGUUAGGCUUAUUGGCUCAUGCUCAGACUUGAGGGAAAAUUCAUGAUGUAUGCCUCUUAUAGGUGCAUGCUUCAAGGGAAGUUAUCCCGCUGGGUGCUUUAUCGAGAGGCUAUUCAUAUGUUAUAAAAUUUAGUAGAGUUGGUUGCAGUCGAGGCCAAGUCAGAGCGGGUGGCUCUCAAUAGCGGUCCUAGUGAAUUCAAGAGGUAAAGUGUGGUGUCUAAUGAUUUUUAGUCUAUAAGUACGGUUAAGAGUCAAGCUUUUGAAGCAGCUUAUGAAGAAAGACACAAAAUGCUCUAUGAUGUUUUAACUUGCGGUGUAGCAUUUGAGAGACAUGAAAUGGUCAUGGUAUUUGAGACGGCAUGGUCUCGUAAUUUAAGGUCACUCGGGGUAAGUGUGGUUGAAAUAAGUUAGGUGUUGAAGGGAAAUAUUAUUAUUUCUAAGUCAAUCAAGGAUAAAUUGGAAGGAAGUAUAUUGAUUAGCCAUAGUUGAGUUGGCAUACUGGUGUUAGUGAUCGGUUCGUUCAGCGUGAUCGGGUUAUGCAUGUGAUUGCUGCGAUACAUGUGAGGCUUGUCGGUCGCAGUGAUUGAUGUUAUUCUGAAGCAUUCUUUUGUUAGAACCUAUUAUGAUUAGGCGGAUCCCGGGAAGUGUUAUGGUGGUUUGGACAACCACUUAGAGAUUGUCUUAUUCGGCGGUUAUGAGAAUUCGCAUGUAUGUUGCUAUAUUUCUCCUGAAGUGAGUUAAAUGGAAAGUAUUAUGCAACGAAAUAUUAGCCUAUUGGCGGCUCCAUAGUUGUGAUGGAAAUCGUGUCUAUCGUAUAUCGGCACGUGAGGUGCAAUGAGUGAUAUAGAAUUCGAAGUAAGGACCAAGGUUGCAGUUUGGUUAAAUGACUGUGAUGUCACGAGCUCGGAUGAGCAGGAAUGGAGUUUCAGUGUUUUGAGUAAGAUAGGUAUUGAUGUCAAUAUCACCUGAGAUCGGUGUUCUGUGAGAAGGGCUUUGCAUCUUUGUUAUGGACUCCUGAUCGCUUUUCAGCGUUAGUACAGCCGGUGGAUUGAAUGAGCAGGCCCGUUAAUUAUUUCGGAUGAUGGCGGGAGCUUGUCUCACAAGAAUAUUGUAUAAGUGCGACAGUUAGUCACUUGAUUAAUUAGAAAUUUAAACCAAGUAUGAGGAUUUUGGUAAUAUCAUCCAUUUGAGAAUUUAUGCCUGGAGGGCACUCUGCUUAUUGGGUUAUGGUCCUGUGAAAUAUUAUUGGCCUAGCUUGGCACGAUCAAGAUCGACUUGAGGUCGAUGGAUAGAUUUAAAUGUUGAAGUGAGCCUUACGUCAGGCCAGUUGUGUUUAUGUCAGCAAUGCGCUCUUUAUGAAAGGAUAGUCACGGUCUUAUUUUGUGGUCAGCUAAUUCAUGUAAAGAUAUAUUGCACCGUAUAAGUUGUGAGAUGACUUGGUAAAUUCCUUAUGUGUUGAGGUUCCGCUCAGCGGUGAUAUUAUAUGAGCAUGAUGGCUCUUGAGACUUAGAUCAUGUAUCACACCUUAAUUGUGAUUCAUGAUCUAAGUCUCAAGAGCCAUCAUUGAUGGCUCUUGAGACUUAGAUCAUGUAUCGCACCUCAGUUGUGCUUGAUUUUGUAGCCUAUAGAGCUAUAUGUUUCCUUGGGAAUGGUAUUAUGUACCUUGGUGUGUUUAUGACCGAUAAACGAUUUUUUGAUGUGAUGAGCUUUUCAGCUCGAUGCAUAUCUCCUUAUGUGAGUUGUAUAUGUGGAUCGGGUGGCACGCCGCCAUGGGUAAGUUGUUUGGAUCAGGUUGCGUGCCGUAACAGUACGAUGUUCAGUACAGUCCCCCAUAUUUUCUUUUAUGUGUUCUGUCUCUUAUUUUUCCCAGAAUUCUAGUUCUAGCUGUGAACCCACGUUGCAUAUAUGAUUCGCGAGCGGGGUAAUUAGAUCUCCUUUUUAAAGUUAGGCAUCCUUUGUGUAUCGCAAUCCGAGUGGUAGCCUGUUGGCGCAUUGUGGCAUUAUAUUGGAUUUUUGAUUAUGUCUAAGGUGGCUUAUUGCCUGAGCAGUUCAUACUGGGUGAGACGAGGUUACUAGAUUUGGGGUCAGUGCAAACUGAUUAUAUGAAGUAUACUAUAGAGAAAAGAUCAUUCUUUGGUUUGGUACAAGGUAAUGGAACUCGUCAAGAGUAUGGAUCCAAUGAAUUGUUGAUUCAGAAGUUGGUUAUGAAUUUCGGCACAUCUCUUCAGUCGUAUCGGUGUUGUAAAACCUAAAGCAAGACCUGUGUAGGUCAUGAGAUGCAAUGGGAGCAUCAGAUUUGUGGAAUUUCGACUAUUAACAUCUCUUCCGUCGUAUCGAUAUUGUAAAAGCUAGAGCAAGACACGUGUAGGUCAUGAGAUGUAAUGGGAGCAUGAGAUUUGUGGAAUUUUGACUAUUAUGUUUAAAGAAUGGUAUUGUGGUUCUAUGAGUAAAGUGAUGCAAAGUGUGAAUUCAACAAAGUUAUGCAUUAAUGUUUGGGUAGAGCGAGCGGAGAUUGAUAUGGUGGUCGUAUGAUGGAAACAGACUUGGCAGGAAAUUAAGGAUGUUGGAAUUUGGCCUAAUGGCUUAUUUGAUUGAAUUAUUAUAUCUACAGAAUUAUCGAGCUAAUGUUCUCAACUGAGUGGUGGUAGCACGGGAAGGUGCAUGAUGUUUUAAACAAGUUAUUUCAAACUACAUCAUUGUAGUUCUCAGCAUGUUCGAGGACGAACGUAUGUUUAAGUGAGGGAGAUUGUAACGACCCGACUGGUCGUUUUGAGCUCCGGUGCAUCAUUCAACAGUAUGAGGCCAUGGGAAGUUUCAUCUCAGGUAUAUUGAUUUAUGUGUAUGGUCAGAAUUAAAAUUCAGGAAGUUUGGAGUCAAAUCCAAAUGAAAAUUCUCAUUCUGAAAGCUUAAAGUUGAAGAAAUGAACUAGGAUUGGAAUUUUGUGUAAAUGACCUCGGAAUCGGGAUCUGAAGGUUCCAGCAGGUUUGUAUGAUGAUUUCGAACUUGGGCGUAUGCCCGGAUCGGGUUUUGGAUAACCUAGGAGCGUUUUGGUGACUAUUAUGGAAGAUAGCAUUUUAGAAGAAAUUGCAUCACUUUGGCUUAAAAUGCAUUUCAGUGUUAUUAAUGUCCGUUUGGGAUUUUGAGACAGUGAGUAUGGUUGAUUCUGGAUUUGGGAGCAUGAUCGGAAGUGAAUUCUGGGGUUCGUAGGUCAUUUUGAAGUCAUUUGGCUAAAUAUAUAAAUUUGAAGGUUUUUGAGAAAAUUCGACCGGAAGUGAAAUUUUUGAUAUCGCGGUCGGAAUGUGAUUCCGAAAGUUGGGGCAAUUCCAUAAUGUUGAAUGUGACUUGUCGCGACCGGAAUGAUUUUGGUAAGGUUUGAGGCACUUAGUCUUUAUUAAGGAAGCUUAAUUUGGAAAAGUCAAUUGAAUAUUGACUUAUGUGUUAAAUGGCUCGAAAUGCAAAUUUUAUGAUUCAGAUAGCUUCAUUAGGUGGUUUGGGACUUAGGAGUGAGUUUGAAAUAUUUUUGUGAUGACCGGUGUAGAAUUAAGUUUGAAUUGGUAAAGUUAGUAUUUUGGCGAAUUCUGGUUGAUAGGUGAGAUUUUGAUCCGAGGAUCGGAGUGGAAUAUGUUUGAAUCGAGGCUUCAAACGGUAAAGCUUAUCUGAUUUUAUUUAUUUUAGAAUUUUUCUUCAAAUAAUUCAUGAAUUUUCUAGGAUAAUAUUAUGGACUUAUUUGAUUUUAUUUAUUUUAGAAUUUUUCUCGAAUAAAUCAUGAAUUUUCUAGGAUAUUAUUAAGGAUCUCAUCGAAAACUUAAAGAAGCUUGCCAAACAAAAUCUAAGAGAAAAAAACAGAGGUAUGACUGGCAUAAUAUCUACGAUUGGAUUCAAAAAAGCAUAGGCCUCCGGCAAUUUGCCGAAGACAAAUCUACUCGAAAAAAGGGUCGAAUUAAGACAGAUACCGAUCAAACUAAAGGUAUUAAGCAUAACAAAAUCCAAGAGUUUUCGUAGCUUCGUUAUAUCAUUUUGGACUUGUCUGCAAAAUUUGAGGUCAUUUGGACUAGUUUUGACGUUUUUUUGCAUCGGAUGUGAAAUUUGAAAGAAUUCUUGGAUAUAAGGCUCAAAUCAUUGAUUUUGAUGUUAUUUUGCCGAUUUGAUCACUCGAGCAAGUUCGUGUGAUGUAUUAGAGUCAGCGUGCAUAUUUGGUUUGGAGCCUCGAGGCUCGGGAGUGUUUCUGAGGUGUCUCGGAAUAAUUCCAGACUUAGAAAAAUAUGCAGAAAUUGCAGAAAAAUUUUGCUGUGAACAGUGUUGUGAAACAGUUCCCAUGCACAGUACCCAUAAACAGUAUCAUGAACAGCGCAAGUGAAUUGUGACCGACGCGUGAAUAGUGCCCUCGAAAUUUCUGGACAGAGUAUUAUUUUUCUGAAAAUGGGAGUCAUCCCAUUUUCCAUUUUUAACGAUUUGGAGCUCGGAUAAGGAGAUUUUUCGAGGGAUUUUUGGAGAGAACAACGGGGUAGGUCUUCUUAACUCAAUUUUGGUUGUAUAACUCGAAUCUAUUGCAAGUUUUGGUGUUUAAUUUGAGAACUUUUGUUAAAAAGGUAGAAAACCCUCUUGGAUAGAAAUGGUGAUUUGAGGGGUCAAAUGGACUCCGAUUUUUGUGAAUUUGAUAUGUACGGACUCAUGGCGAGACGAGAAAUCCGGUAAUGUAAAUAUUGUAAUUUUCGAUACGUGGGCCCGGGGCUCGAGUUUUGCAAAUUUCGUGAUUUUCGAUUUUUUUCGAGUCUUGGGUUAUAUUCCCUUAGCAUAUUGUGAUGUAUUUGCUCUAAAUUUGGAUAGAUUUGACGCNNNNNNNNNNNNNNNNNNNNNNNNNNNNNNNNNNNNNNNNNNNNNNNNNNNNNNNNNNNNNNNNNNNNNNNNNNNNNNNNNNNNNNNNNNNNNNNNNNNNNNNNNNNNNNNNNNNNNNNNNNNNNNNNNNNNNNNNNNNNNNNNNNNNNNNNNNNNNNNNNNNNNNNNNNNNNNNNNNNNNNNNNNNNNNNNNNNNNNNNNNNNNNNNNNNNNNNNNNNNNNNNNNNNNNNNNNUAGUGUUGUAUUGAGGUGACUUGCACGCCGGAUAUGAGCGUGGGGUAGAGCACCGUUGGGGACUGUGACUUGGUCCGUCCCGGUUGUUGAUUUUAUCGAGAAUUUGACUGAAAUUAUUUUUUAUCAUCAUAAUUUGGGCUGAUUGCCAUGUUUGGGCUUCGUGCCAACUAUGUGAAUCCUUCGGGGAUUGAUAUUACUGUUUUUAGCAUAUGUUGCAUAUCAUUUGAUUCCAGUUCAAGAUUUUAAUACUGUUUUGCAAACUCAGCCAUGCUUCUAAGUUUUGAAAACUCAAAUGAUAUAUCAAAUGUUAUUUCGGCCUGAGACUACUAUUUUAUAAAUUCCCAAGAUGCUUAUGAUAUUUUCUGAAAUAUUAUGGGUGGCUCGGGCUGCACGCCGCAGCAAGAACUUGAAAUAGUGGUAACAAUGGCACUGUGAUGUGAUCUGAAUUAUUAUGGGUGGGUCGAGUUGCACGCCGCAGGAGGAACUUGAAACAGUGGUAACAAUGGCACUGUGUGAUGUGACUUGAAAUAUUAUAGGUGACUCGGGCUGUGCGCCACGGCAGGAACUUGAAACAGUGGUAACAAUGACACUAUAUGAUAUAAAUUGGUCAGGUAACAUUGGCUGAUCGGUCAGGUAACAAUAACUGACCAGUAUAUUGCUCUUGGGCUAUAGGAUCCCCUUCGGAGUCUGUACACACCCCCAGUGAGCGUCGUCGAUGUUAAAUGAUUAUGGGUGGCUCGGGCUGCGCACUGCAGCGGGUAAUGGAAUGUACCAUCAUAUACAUUGCAUUGCAUCCAUGCAAUUGUUCCUAUUUGUACUACUUGUCAUGACAUUCUGCACUCCCAUUUCAUUGGCAUCCAUGCUACUUCUUGUACUGUUUACUAGAUACCCUGGUGUUAUUUGUUAUUGGAUUGUUGUGCCGGACAAGCUGAUGUUGUACUUUGUGAGUUGGGAGUGAGCCCAUAGGGCUGAUACUGUACGGAGAGGUUGAUAUUGAGCCCGAGGGGCAGAUUUCUGAUUUUCCCUACUUAUUGAAGUUAUUUUCGCAACUGUUGAAAGGGUAUAUUUUUAAAAAGAGGUUUUUACUGAGCCCAGAUGUUAUUUAAAUGAUUUUCACAAUUUUACUGUUUCUCCUCAGAAAGGGUUGUAAUAUUCUAUAUAGCAUGAUGGAGUGCCUUACGUGAUUUCUUACUUUCAGCUAUCAUUUACUCUUAUUACCGGUGAGUUAGAAGUACUCACUUUAGUCCCUGCACCUUUCGUGCAGUUUCAGGUAUUGUUCACCUGGUAGCAGGUUAUUAACAGACUGAGGGUAUAGUAUCGUAGCUGAGCAAGGUGACCGCCAGCGUUCACGCCACCGUAAUUCUUCGUUGAUUCUAAAUUCCAUUCUGUAUAUUGCUGGUCUUGUAGUAGUAUUUAGAUUCUUUAGAUGCUUGUGACUAGUGACACCUCGAUUUGGACUGUAUUGGGUUGUAUUCCGCGAAAUCAUUUUAUUUAAUUAUCUUGAAACUGUUUAAUCCAUGUGUGUGUGUGUGUGUGUAUAUAUAUUGUUGAAAAGGCUGUUGAAAUUUGUUGGUUGGCCUUGUCUUCACGAGAGGUGCCAUCACGACCGCAUUUGGGAUUUGGGUCGUGACACCUAUGGAUAGAAAGACUAGGCUGCCAUUCCCGGAGAGAAUCACUUCAUCCACCAAAGUAUUUGAAUUACUUCAUGUAGACCUAUGUGGCCCCUAUCAUAAACCAACACAUGAUAACUACAAAUACUUCCUUACCAUGGUUGAUGUUUUUAGUAGGUCAACCUGGACUCACCUUUUAAGCUGCAAAAGCAAUACUUUUUGUUCCAUUAAAGGCUUUCUGUCUAUGAUUGAAAAUCAGUUUGACAUCUCUGUUAAGACCAUUAGAUCUGACAAUGGUCUAGAAUUUUUCAAUAAUGAAACCCUGACUUACUUUCAAGAAAAAUACAUAGUACACUAGAAAACUUAUCCGUAUACACCACAAUAAAAUGGUGCAGUGGAAGGGAAACACAAAUACCUACUUGAAAUAACAAGAGCCCUUCUUUACCAGGCUAAAAUACCCAUAAAGUACUGGGGAGAGUGCAUCUUAAUAACUACCUAAUAAAUAGGCUUCCAUCUACUAUUCUUAACAAUAAAAGCCUCUAUGAAAUUCUGUAUGAUAAAAGGCCCAAAUAUUCACAACUCAGGAGUUUUGGUUGUCUAUGUUAUCCCUGGACAUAGAAAAUUCACAGACUAUGUCUAAAAAACGAUCAGCCUUCAAAUAAAUCCUCUAAAUCCAAUAAGAUCAGGUUUGUCUUCACGAGAGGCGCCAUCACGAUCGGGUUUGGGAUUUAAGUCGUGUCACUCAAGAAGAUGGGACUUUUUCUUUAUUUGUUUAAUUGUUUAAAGUGGUCUGGUUUUGGACAUAAAUAAAGAGUAGUUUGGACAGAAUUAAGGACUGGUCUUUGAAUGCUAAAAAAGUCAGUAAGUAGAGAGUUAAAUAACAAAAUUGAAGCCUUUCUUUCACGUCUGAAAAAUCAGAAUCAGUGUUUAUUACUGUGGAGUUGAAGUUCCGAGCUCCUUUCUCUGAGUGUCUGAAGAUCACAAAACUAGUGUUCUGUUUUGCUUCUGGUUCACUUUUUCUUCUGUCUUUUAUUGUCAUUGAUAUCUCUGAGGUUUUCAUUUGGGUUUACCUGAGUUUGUUGUUGGUUUUUAUUAUCACUAUUCACUUGGUAUUGUUGGAUUUUCUGCUUGGUUUUAUAAAUAUGUCACUGGGUUCUCGUUGCUGGUUGCUGGUUAUUCCUGGUUGUUAUUAUUGUUGUUGUGUAUGCUACUGCUGCACUGAUCACUAAUCUUCUUUUGCUUUCCAAUAUCAGGUACACAACUGAUUUACUGACUAUUGUAAGAUGAUAACACGAAACAUAAAUACAAAAAUGAAGAGUUGAAGUUCUGAAUUCACUUUAGUUCGUCUACUGGUUUGUAUAUAUUAGGAUAUUAUUUCACUGGAACCAUAUAGGUGACUGUGAUGUACAACUGGAUAUUUGUGUAGUAGUUUGAUUAAUAAACGCUCCAUGUUUGCUUAGUUAAAAAAAGGGUUGAUGGUGUAGUUAAUAAUGCGCUGUAUAUUUCAGUUUGGUUGUUAAUAACAAGUUGCCUGUCUAAAACUUGUAGUAAUAUUAUUUAAUUAGAUAUCAUCAUUUUACAUUUCAGCAUUGCAAAUUUCGAACAUGUGUAGAAUAUCUUAACUAGGCUUCAAUAUAAAAAUAAUAUGGCCCAGGUCCAGUUUAGUACUACACGAUGGAUCUGGGCCCAUGAUUGGCGAAGGGCCUGCCCCAUUACAUUUAUAUUCUGAUUUAACAAACUGUGUUAGAAACCCGACUAUAAUAACUCGUAAGCAUGUAUGUCAACUAGGACCUUUUCUUGUUUCAUUUUAGAGACGGACGAAAAAUAGAAGAAUGUAGUCACUUUAGGAUGAUCUUUUUAAAAUAAACGAGAUGAGAUGAGCCUAAUAAAACGCACAAGCUGUGGGGCCCUCUAUACGUGUUUGUAAAGUUACUUAGAGUUUGGAAUGAGUCGUUUUAGCAAAAUUUCACGGCCUUACCCACAACAAUAAUACGCUUGUCGCUUUAGGCACGCCUUUAAUAAAUUUUUUUCUUAAAUUUGGGUGCACAUUUAUGUGACCCAAAUUCAAAUCUCAACGGAAUCGAAAUGUGUUGAUAACCACGGGUACAUUGAUUGUGAUGUGGUUCGAGAUGCGUUUUCACAACGUUGCAAUUCCUUGUUAAAACAACAACAACAACAACAACAACAACAACAACAACAAUAAUAAUAAUAAAUAAUAAUAAUAAUAAUAAUAAUAAUAAUAAUAAUAACAAUAAUAAAAGCGGUAAAAGAGUUAUAUCUUGCAUAUAAGUGCAUAAUUGGUAAAAUUAUAUAAAUAAGCCGAAUAUGGCAGUUGAGCGACUGUGCUAGAACCACGAAACUCAGGAAUUCCUAACACUUUCUCCCAGUUUAACAGAAUUCCUUACUCGGAUUUCUGGUUCGCGGAUUGUUAAUAGAGUCAUAUUUUUCUCGGUUCGGGAUUCAACCGGUGACUUGGGACACUAUUAAUAUCCCAAGUGGCGACUCUGAUAUCUCAAAAAUAAAUCUCGUUCCGGUUGUCCUUUAAUUGGAAAAACCCCCUCUGCGCCCCCGCGGCCGCGGGUGAAAAAAGAGGUGUGACAGCUUUGGCGACUCUGCUGGGGAAAUCAACCCAGAACCACUGGUUCAGGGUUAGAAAUUCGAGCUUUUAAUAAAUUGUUGUACUUGACUUUAUUUAUUAUCUGAUUUUAUUAUGUGAUUGAGCUUAAAUGUGCAAAAAUGAUAUUGUUACCGCUUUGAUAUUAUUUGAACUGUAUAUAUAAACUGUGCCGAAACCCCUCUUUUCUUUCUUCUGUCGUGACUUCUUUCUGUUAGUGUCAUUAUCCCAAAUAGAAUGAGGAUUCGGUGGAGUUGCAAAAUCAGCUGGCCUUUUGGUUACCGGGACGCGGCUCUCAUCCUUGGCUCGAGUUGUCCGCUCGUGUAAGCCAGGUCCACAAUAUUACACCCAGGUUUUGAACUUAGAAUAACUUGACUUCAUGUCAGAUCCCAAGUAGGAAUGUUUAUUUGCAUCAUGUGCAUUUGACUUAGGCGAAUCAACACAAGGAUUGGGUACGUCUAGGACAAGCAACCUGAAAAUAAUAGACCAUCUUGAUGCAUCCUCUGUUCUACAUGUUUUAUUUAUUCAAGAGUAGAAGGUUCAUUUGUUGGACCAAUGAUAGUUGAGGACAAAUGGCAUGCCUGGUCAUGCUGAUCACAUUAAAUAAGAAGGCUGCAUGGUUUUUUAGAUAAGCAUGGUAUUGUUUUAAUCAAGCACAUGGGGAACAUUUGUGGAAUCCAAGGAGUCUUGGAAUUCCCUAUGUCCCAUGCUUCUUUUUUGGGACAAUCACAUCGGGAACAUUUGUGGAAUCCAAGAAGUCUUGGAAUUUCCUAUGUCCACAUGCUAUAUUUUGUGGAUAUGAUUCAAGGAUCGAGGGAUUCCUCUUGAUCUUUGCAAACUUAAAAAAAUGAAAAUUCAAAAAGAUUUUGUACUUUGUCAUCAUUUUCCAUAAAUGAGAAAAUCAAGAAAAAGAGAAAAAGAAAAUUCAAAAAAGAUUUUUGCAUGUUUCAUCAUUUUUUUAAGAAAAAAAAAGAGUAAAAAAUAUAUAUGUUUUUCUAAAUUAGUUAUUAUUUUUAAUUAUUGCCCGUAUCAAUCGGCCUGAAUUAUGCUGGUUUGAUUCUCACCGGGUGUGAGAUACGUAGGCAACCUUCAUCGGGUCCAAUCUCCCCUUUUGCUAAAAUAGCCAAAAACAAUGUCAAUUAAUUUUUGUCAUAAAGAAGUCGGGUGAUGUCGCUCUUGUUAAAUAUAGCCGAAUCUUUCCGAAAGGGACGCCGGAAGGCCGACUUUGCAUAAAAGGACACCUUUGGUCAUUGUUUUUUAGAUUUUUGCUAAUUGACCACAUAGCCUUAAAAUCUUCGUCCCUGAGGCGCUAAAAGACCGUGUUUACAAUAUCGGAUUUUCUAUUUUGAAAAACAAGAAAAAGAGUCAUAAAUAAGUCGAGUGAUGUUGUUUUUGUCAAAAAUAGCCGAAUGUUCCCGAAUGGGACGCCGGAAGGCUGACUUCGCAUUAAUAGCUACAUGUGGUCACUAUUUAGAUUUUUGACCGGUUGACCAACACAGCCUUAAAAUCUUCGUCCCCGAGGCGCUGAAAGCCGUGUUUGCAAUAUUGGGUCUACUAUUUUGAAAAUAAAAUAUUCAUAAAUAAGUCGGGUGAUGGCGUUAUUGUCAAAAAUAUCCAAAUGUUCCCGAAAGAGGCUUCGGAAGACUGACUUUGCAUAAACAAUCACAUCUGGGUCAUUUUUUUAUUUUGGCCAGUUGAUUAAAAUCUUCGUCCCCGAAGUGCUGAAGUCUUUGCAAAACCUGGCCUUUUAUUUUAAUUUUAAAAAAAAACGAGUCAGUGGGCAAGUGAGUAUCGUUCGAAUUUUGGUCAAAAUAAGCCGAGCCAGCUUCGGCGAUGUAUUAAACCGCUCUUCCGAGAUAGCCUUAGAGUAUCUUUUAGUUUUCGAAAGGCUAUUUUUGUAAGAGAACGGACCAGUUUGUAGUGUCAUAAAAUAAACCUCCACGACCUCAAAAUUCAUGAGAAAUUGGGAAGGGGCCACAUUUGUAAAAUAGCCAUUUGGUUAAAAUUGGCAAAUAGGGAAAGGAAUCUGGCUGUUUAUUUUGAGUUUUUAAUUUUUUUUGAUUAGGGUGUGGUAUAUAUUUAUUUUCAAGUCUGUAGGUCGUCUUUUCGUCAAAGUCUGUUAGUAUGGUCAGUUUUUAUACCGUUGUACACAUGUUUGUUUUAUUGUGAAAAUUGAAAAUUCCAAAAAAAUAUAUUUUAUUGUUGUUUAUCUUUUAUUGGUCCAAACUACACAAGGUCUAAUUCAUGUGGGGUCAUGACACGUAGGAAAUCUCCAUAAGAUUCAACGUCAACAAAAAAUGAAAAAAAAAUUGAAAAAAAGAAAGAAAAAGGAAAAAAAGGAAAACGAUGUUGCUAAUAAUGAGGACCGACUGAGUCCAUUCUAACCUGUUUUGUUUUGAAUCGAAAAAAGAAAUUUAAGGUGGUUGGUUUGUGGUAAGCCGGAAAAACAAGAUCCAAGAAAACCUGAUUGUAAUCCAAGACAAUGACACCCAGAAUAUCACGCAAAAUCCUUUACCUGCGCAUCAUGAUGCACACUUUGUGGGGAUGAGGCCUGAUGACACAGAGCACUCGAAUCCUAUUGGGAACAUGUUGACUGAGGUUGAUGAUAUUGAAGUUGGUAAUGGUCUUGGCAAUAUUGACGUGAAGUUCAGUGGCUAAGAUGCCAGGUUUGAUAAGUGGGAGGACGCUCCGUUCCUUGGUUAGCAGUAGAGAAGCUUUUGGUGGCUUAUUUUGUUGUCAUUUCUGUUGUCCAGAUUAUUCUUAGGGUUGUAAUCCAGAUAUUGUCUUGUGUCAAACUUUCUUAUCUUUCCAUUUUUGUCAUAACGGUUUGUUUAGUUUUGUCCAGGUUUGUUUUAGGAUUGUAUUCUGGUUUGUUUUUGUUUGUUUUGUUAUUCAAACCAUUUCAUCGCUAGUCUAAUGUAAAAUUCAGUCUUUUAUUAUUUCCAGUCAUUUUUUUGUUUAGGUUUUUUAUCAUUUUGUUCAGCGCCGAUUCUAGUGACAUAACAUGGGUACACAAUUUGAGCCUAAUCUUAAAAGUUAAUCAUCAAACCAUUAAGAGGUGAUCAAAACAUUUAAAGUAAAUAAGGACGGUUUGAUAUUAUUCAAGCUCGAGUCAUGUGGAACUGGGGCAAGUAAAGUAUAAAGAAAACCGUUAAAGGCAAGAUUCGCUAAAUUUACACGAGGGUCGUUCAUGAUAAUGAGAGUGAGAGUGUUGUCAAACGGUGCUUUAGAGAUGACAAAUGAAAAAGCAAAUGCGUGAAUAUAAUUGUCUAAGUCCAGCACCAUCAGAAGAGGCUACAAAUCUUUGCUUAAUUGUGUUGUUUGCACUUGGCAUGUUUUGAAGACUGGAAUGACGAAGAUAUUUUGUUCUUCUACCUAAAAGCUUUAUCCAUCCUGACCCUUUUUAGCCUUAUUUAUUUUAUUUCAUACCCCUUAUUUGGAAUCAGUAGCAAAGGUUAGAAACACAAACGUGGAAGAAAAAAGAAAAAGAAAAAAAAGGAAAAGAAAGCAACAAAAACAACAAAAGAGAGAAAAAAAAAAGAAAAAUUGAUAACAAAAACAAAAGAAAGUGAGAAGAAAACAAAGGAAUUGGGAACUACGUUUGACCUGAUUCCUGAAAGAGGAUACGUAGGCGCUUCACAACUCAGUCAUAGUGUAAAUAAAAAUAAAAAAUCCCCAAGCAAGAAACUGGGGCAAAAAAAGAGAGAAAAAAAUAGUAUUUAUUAUAAAUAAUCUCGUUCCGAAGGUUGUAAUUUUAAACUAAAUUGAUGUGUUUUUGAGCCUUUAAAUACCCUUUCUUCUAGCCUAUCCGAAUCCCACAUUACGGUCCAAAGAAUGACCUUCCGAUCAGUCUUCAAAAGAAGCCAAGUCAGGCAAAUGGGAGAGUCUUGUCAAAACAUAAUCUGAUCCCCGACGAAAAGACUCUGACCCCCAGUAGAAAAGACUCUGGUCCCCUGUUAUGAAGAUAAAUGAGAGAGUAUUAUCGGUAACACCCUAACCCUCAGCUGAAGAAUAAUACAAAUGAGAGAGUCUUAUCGGUGAAAACCUUCAAGGGCACCUUGAGGCGAAUGCCAGUUGAGAGAAAAGCCAAAAUGAUAGAGGCUUGAUAGUGAAAACUUUCGGGCACUACAAGUCAAAUGGGGGUGAGAAUCAGAUGGGGAAUCACCAAACGAAGAUCUUGAAAGACGAUUGACGACAGAGGAUAGGCUAUAUGUGCAUGUCAUGACCAUUAGGGUUGGUAUCCACAUUUGGUAGUUUUUUAUUUUAUAGUUUCCUUGUUAGAGAGUAACUCUUUCCUUUGUCUUUUAUUCUGUUCCUUUUUAUCUUUCUCCUUUCAUAGAAAAAUUCCCCAGUAGAGUCUGUUUGGUCAAAACAAGUGAGAAAUGACUUCAAAAUAUGACAUCAGCUUCCAAUUAGGCAAGUCGAAAUCUAACUGAUAAAUCCAAGUGGUAUGAGGAACAAGCUCAAAGCCAAUGUCAGGAUAUCCCUAGCAAGAGGAGAUUGACAAAGAUGGAUCAGUGUCAAGAAACCAAAAUGUGCCAUCAGCUUUCUAAUUAUGCAAGAAGAGAUCUGACUAGUACAUCCAAGUGGUAUAGUAAGCAAGGAACAAGCGCGAUGCUAGUGUUAAGGAAGAUAUCCCCAGCAAGAAGAGAUUGACAAAAGGAUGGACCAGUGUCAAGAGGGAUAUCCCGGCCAAAAUCAAAGGUUAUAGACCUCAAGGCCAAGGCCCGUGAACAAAUCAAGAAAGAACAAUGCGGAGAGCAGUGGGCAUGAUUCGGGAAAUUCAUAUGAGACUAAAAGAUCGGGAAAAUGCCAGUUUCCGAGCUAUGCCAGAAAAGGAGGGAUAUCCCUAGCUGAAAAGGUUGUUUUCAGUGACAAAAAUGAACAAAGAAAGUAGUUUAUCAGCAAAACAUUGCAAAAUCCUCAAGGGGAAUCAGCUGUCAUGGAAAACAUACAUGGUCAGAUGGAAAACAACAUUGAGAGGUUGGUGACUAAGGAAUCGACAAAAAACUCGGAAGUUAUCGCCCAAGUUUCAAGAUAGCCGAAUGACGCAAAGCAGGGCAAGUCGGUCUAAGACCAGCAUGAAUAUCAUACCCAGCAAAUAAUAUCAUCCCCAGCAAGUUUUGAUAGGGUAAUGGAAAGCAGAGCAAGGAAGGGGAAAGGGAAGGACCAUCCCCAGCAGAAGUAUCACAACCAGCCACCACAUUUUAAACUAACAAGUUUUCUUUGAUUUGAAGUAGGUAAAGGAAAUGGCAUUGAUGACGGAAAGUCAUGUCAUAAGGAAGAUUAUCAAACUGGGGCAGAAAUUUUUCUUUCCAUUUUUGAAAAUUUUCUAGAAAUCAGGUAUCCCUUUGGGGAAGAUGGAAGAUAAGAGAAGUCUUAAGGGAAGUAGUCUUUGAACCAAUGAUAUCCCCAGCAUGUGUUGAAAGAAAGAAAAUAACAAGUUUUAAUGAAAGGAGUUGUAUCCCCAGCGGACAGAACGAAGGGAUGAAACUGGUGUUCAGAAAAAACAAAAGCCAGUUUCAUCCCCAGCAGCUUCUAGAAGAAGGAAACGCCGAUUGUGAAGGAAUAAAAUUCCGCCCAGCAGCGUUAUCCUCAACAACGUUAUCCCCAGAUGAUAACACUUUCAUCCCUAGCAGUGCUGAGAGAAAAUAAAAUUUUUGAAUGAAGUAGAAAAGGAGGGGAAGAAAGGAGAUUCCUCCCAACGUAUUAUCCCUAACAGGUAAGUAAGUAAUUCCCCAGCAAUGUUAUCCCCAUCGGUCUCGAGGGAAGACAACACGAGAUUUUAAAGGAGGAAGCCAUCCCCAGCAUGGCCACAAAUCGGUCACCAUUUUAAAACUGAUAAAUUUUUCUUUGCUCGAGAGUUGAAACUGGAACAAAGCAGUACAAGGGAAAAGAAAAAAAAAGAAGAAAUUACAAAGGUAAGUUUCUCAAAUAUUUGAUCUUUACAUUUUCCUCCUAGGAUAAAAAUCCUAGUCGGAUGGAUUUCCCUCUCGAUACAAUCUUAGUCCGAUGAACUUUCUCCUAAGAUCACGAUUUUAGUCCGAUAAGCUUUCUCCUAAGAUCACAACAUUAGUCUGAUGAACUUUCUCCUAAGAUAACAAUCUUAAUCCGAUGAAUUUUCUCCUAAGAUCACAAUCUUAGUCCGAUGAACUUUCUCCUAAGAUCACAAUCUUAGUCCGAUGAACUUUCUCCUAAGAUAACAAUCUUAUACCGAUGAAUUUUCUCCUAAGAUCACAAUCUUAGUCCGAUGAAUUUUCUCCUAAGAUCACAAUCAUAGUCCGAUGAACUUUCUCCUAAGAUCUCAAAAUUUUAGUCCGAUGAAAUUUUCUCCUAAGAUAUCGAAUCUUAGUCUGAUGAAUCUUUCUCCUAAGAUCACAACAAAAUCUUAGUCCGAUGAAAUCUUCUCCUAAUAUAUCAAAUCUUAGUCCAAAGAAAUUUUAUCCUAAGAUAUCACAAUCUUAGUCCGAUGAACUUUCUUAUAAGAUAUCAAAUCUUAGUCCGAUAAAAUUUUCUCCUAAGAUAUCAAAUCUUAGUCCGAUGAAAUUUCUCCUAAGAUCACAAUCUUAGUCUGAUAAAUUUUCUCCUAAGACAAAAACUUUGUAGUCUGACGAAUUUUCUCCUACGAUAAUUUAAAAAAGAAAGGAUUGUUUAAUUUAAAAAAGAAAGGAAGGCAUAAUUUGAAAAGAAAGAAAGUCUGAAGUUUAAAAAAAAAGUCUAAUUUUGAAAAAAGAAAGUCUGAAUUUGGCAAAAAUUAAGAAAGUCUAGAUUUGAAAAAUGAACCUAGCAUAAGGAAUUAUCUCCUAGAGUCAAAAUCUUAGUCCGAUGAAUCUUUCUCCUGAGAUCACACAAAAAUGGACCUAGUCUGAGGAAUUAUCUCCUAGAGUCAGAAUCUUAGUCUGUUGAAACUUUCACCUAAGAUAAAAAAUCUUAGUCUGAUGAAUCUUUCACCUAAGAUGAUCUUAGUCUGUUGAAACUUUCACCUAAGAAGAAAUCUUAGUCUGAUAAGUUUUUCACCUAAGAUAAAUUUAUAAAUCUUAGUAUGUUGAAACUUUCACCUAAGAUGAAAAUCUUAGUCUGUUGAAAUUUUCACCUAAGAUACAGAUAAAAUCUUAGUUCGUUGAAACUUUCACCUAAGAUAAAAAUCUUAGUCUGUUGAAACUUUCACCUAAGAUAAAAAAAUUCUUAGUUUGAUGAAUUUUUCACCUAAGAUAAAUUUAAAAAUCUUAGUAUGUUAAAACUUUCACCUAAGAUGAAAAUCUUAGUCUGAUGAAUUUUUCACCUAACAUACAGAUCAAAUCUUAGUCCGUUGAAACUUUCACCUAAGAUAAAAAAAUCUUAGUCUGAUGAAUUUUUCACCUAAGACGGUAAUCAUUUCAGUAUUUACAUUUCAUGUUUUGAAUUCAGGUUCAUCCACCCUCGAAUAGGAUAUUUUGGGUUCAUCCGCCUUCGAAUAGGAUAUUUUGGGUUCAUCAGUCCUCGAAUAGGAUAUUUUGGGUUCAUCAGCCCUCCAAUAGGAUAUGAUGGUUCCAUCCUCCCUCGAAUAGGAUAUGAUGGUUCCAUCCACCCUCGAAUAGGAUAUGAUGGGUCCACCCGCCCUCGAUAUGAUGGAUCCAUCCGCCCUCGAAUAAGAUAUUUCUGGUCCAUCCGCCCUCGAGUAGGAUAUUUUGGGUCUAUCCGCCCUCGAAUAGGAUAUGAUGGGUCCAUCCGCCCUCGAAUAGGAUAUGAUGGGUCUAUCCGCCCUCGAAAAGGAUAUGAUGGGUCUAUCCGCCCUCAAACAGGAUAUGAUGGGUCUAUCCGCCCUGAUGGGUCUAUCCACCCUCGAAUUGGAUAUGAUGGGUCUAUCCACCCUUGAAUAGGAUAUUUUGGGUUCAUCCGCCCUCGAAUAGGAUAUCGAAUCUAUCCUCCCUCGAAUAGGAUAUUUUGGGUCUAUCCACCCUCGAAUAGGAUAUCAAAGUUAAUCCUUCCUCAAGAGAAAAUUUAAUUUAUUUCGACCCGAGUGGUCCUGCUUGUAUGAACAUUGCCAAAAUAUAUAUUUCAUAAAUCAUCGCCAAAUGCAUUUUAUUUAAAAGUUGUUGUUGAAAUCAGGAGCCCGCCUGUAAAAUAGAGAAAUACAUUCAAGAUCAAGUCAGAAGGCAGUAAAGCAGAUACGGCAAAUUACCCCCAGCAUAAAUUCCACUACAUAAAUCAAAAGAAAGACUACAAGUCAAGCCAGGAAGAAAAAACACUAGAAGAAACACAAGCGGACAAGAAAGCAAGGCGACAAGAGCAAUUUCAAGAUAGAUAAGAUUUUGUAAUUCCUAGUUUAGUCUAGCUUCUUGUUUUUCUUUUGAGCACGGUGUAAUAAGGAGAACAGUAAGCAAUGGUAGCAGCAUGCAACAAUAGUAACAUCAAAAUCAUAGUUGCAUGGUAGUCCCAACUACCAAAUCUUCCCGACCUAUAUUGACCUGAUUACUUUUUAACCAAGGAUAUGUAGGAAACCUUUGAAGCAGAGGUUCGGUCAAAUCUUUCAAAAAUCCUUCACACGGAGUACUCAAAAUAGGAAAAAGUCAUUCGUAUCCGCUCACUUUAUCUUUGCACGAAAACUCUUCGUGUUCCGGAUAAAGAGGGAUAGAUGUAAGCACGUGAUUUUUGCCUCACAUGAAUUACUCCAAUAGAUUCAAAACAAAAUAACUUCUUUUAGUAUUUGCAAAAUUGUGAAUUUUGUGACAUGUUCUGUUAAUAUUUUGCAUCUGUAUGUGCAUGUUUAUUUGUUAAUUGAAUACAAAAAUAUGUUGAAUUUAUAUUUAGGAUUUAAUUUUACAAUUAAGAGUAAUUAAUUUUGUUUUACAAAAAUAAAAAAAUUACAAAAAAUAACAUACUUCGCGUUUUAGUGUUUAGUAUCAAAAUUGUGUGAUUGUUCUUUUAUAUUGGUAUUUGAUUAUGUGUGAUAACUAUUAUUUCGAGUUAAUUAGUAUUUUUGGAUGAUUUGAUCAAGAAUUAAUCUAGGUUUGUAUUUUUGUCCUUAUUAGAACUUUAGAAAAUAAAAGAAAAGGGAAAGAAUUGGAGUGAGUCAAAUUUGGGCCAGUCUUCAAUUAAAACACCCAUCCCAUAUUACUUAUUACCCAAAGCCCAAUUCCUAUAACCCUUCCCAAUCCACCCAAACCUUUAAACCCGCUCCAUGACCCGACCUGCUCCACUUAUAUGCAAAACAAACCUAGAAAUUGGGGUGGACAUAUAUCGGGUAAAACCGAUUACCCUGACCGUUAAUUCUUUAUUUGGUUAUCGAUAUUGGGUUAUUGGGUUAACGGUUCGGUAACGGGGUAAAAAAAAAUUUUAUUGGGUUAUAGGUUCGGUCUCGGUUUGCAUUUUUGUUAUUGGGUAAAAACUGAUAACCCAAUAAGAAUGAAAUAAUUUACUAAUUUACCCUUAAGUAUAUACUAGGGUUUAAUUUUCCUAAUUCCCUCUUCACUCUUCAGUCUUCAGUUGUCUGUCUCUCAGUUCUCAUUCUUGUUUCCGCCGCAGCCCCCAAGAGUCAAGAUGCAAGACUCACCACUUCGCCAGACACUAGUGCCUCACUAAUUCUCCUCUACCUCGUAUGUCUCUCUCAUUAUGUUUCCGCCACAGCCCCCAACCACCAACAGUUAAUCGCAUCGUGUAACGCCAGUGCCUGAGCCUCAACUCUCAAGCUCACCACUAGUUCUCCGCCAGACGCCACGCUAGUGCUUGAGCCUCACCAGUUUUUUGCCAGUCACGACGACUCACUCCCUCACUCGUCAAUCGCUUCGUAUAAGUUUUGUCUCAAGAUUUUUCUGUUUGUGCCUUGUUAAUUAUUCUGUUUGCUCAAGAUUUUUAUCUCUGUUUGCUUCUAAUUUUUGCCUCUGUUUUCUUUUAAAUCAAACUCACAGUUACACAAAAACAUGGCUAAAACUUAGUAUUUAACUCUGUUGUUUAGCGAAUUAAGUUCAUCAGUAUGAUAUGGAAAAGUUAUGUAAAUUGAUUUUUUUAUCUCUAAUUUAUAAUGACAGUAAGAAACACAUUAGCAUCAUAGUUCUGCCUCUAAUUUACUCACGUGAAGGCACUUUUAAUUUUCAAUGGACUUUUAAUUUUCAGCAUUCAUCACUUUAAUUUUAGUUUUAUCUUAUCUGGUAAACCGAUAACCGAACCGAUAUCAAUAAUCGAUAAGCCGAUAACCGAUAACUAAUAUCUUUUCGGUUUGGUUAUCGGGUUAUGAUAUUUUUAAACCGAUAAUAUAUAGGUAAAAACCGAUAAUUUCCAAAACUGAACCUAACCGACCGAUGCCCACCCCUACCUAGAAACCUUAAGAGCCCUCUUUCUUCUUCCUAAUGACAAACCAGCCGUAGACCCCUGACCUCACCCAAAUGACCCCCGACCUCACCCCAUAUCCACCCUUCAACCAACAUCAAACGAUCGCUCGUUUAUUCUCCAUCUCAGCAACUCACCGGAGGUCCUUUGCCUUUCAGUCGCCGGCCAGCCAUUGAAACUCCAACAAACAUCAUAGCCGCCGCUCACUCCCCCAUCUCUUUCACGCCAACAACCAAAGAGAAACAAACGUUCAGCCAGCAACAACCAAACAGACCCAUUUUUUAACCUUGUAUAUGGCUCCUCACCACUGACUUCACGCCGGACCACCCUAGAACCACCGUCGCUGCCCUAUCUCCUCUCUGACGCCGAUCAGCCCUCUCAGGAACAACCAAGUAACAUUUUUCUUCUAUAAUUUCUCAAUGGGUGAGGAAAGAAGCGGUGUUUAUACGAGUGGUGGUGCCGUUAACAGUAGUAACGUAUUGGGAUGUGCUUUUGGUUUCUUAAUUCGCGGUUUUGUUUGAGGUCAUGAAACUUGGUAUUGUCCGUUGGUUUUGCAGUUCAAAUCCUUGUUUUCGAUUUGA
rnacentral:lncRNA from 1 species